AGGUCAGGAUCAUUCCACCCAGGAUCGUUGCUAUAUGAAUCAAAAUGAUGCUGAGUAGGGGAGAAUCUAUCCAAAAACAAAUGCUUAAGAUCUUCCCAAUUGGCCCUGAAUUCUGGUGGAAGAUGAAUAAGCCACUCCCAUGCUGCUUCUUCUAAUGAAUGCGGAAAUGCCCUUACAAAUAUCGACUCCCCGGCAACGGCGCCAAAAUUUGAUGGGCUAUCACAGCCCAUACAAAUUUGAUUGCAUAAAAGAAUGCAGUAUAGACUAGGAAAUGACUCCUAGGUCGUCUCUCAAGGACCAAACUGUGGUUCGAGAAUUAGGUCAGACACGAAGUGGGGGGUUUGUGAAUGGUUUUGUGAAUGCGGAUAAACAAAAUCAAAUCACGAAUGUGAACAAAAUCUGAAAACAGAAAUGCAAAACGGAAUCAAAUACAAAAUAAUAACGGUUGGUCAUUAACUCAAUUACUAUGCUUCCAAUCACAACUAAACGACAAGUACAAACUACUCUAAUCCAAAUCCGAC
rnacentral:lncRNA from 1 species